CCCCCAUGAGGAAACCCCCACGUGUCUGACCCCCCCGGAGGGCCCAGGACCUGCAAAGGUGGAACCCCCUGGAGCCCCCGGGGGGAGAGGAGGCCGAGCAGUCCCAGAGGGGACGGUCUGAGGGGG